GUCUGUAGGCUGGAGAACAAAUCCAUGAUUUGGACUCUCGUUCUGACGGCACCCAUUCACUGCAGAGGAUCCACUGAAGCGGAUGGAUCAUGCUGAUGCGUAUGAGAGCUCAGAGCACUGGCUGGAGUCGAGAAGUCUGGAGAGCUGUGGACUGUCUCUCUCUCUCACCUCCUGUCACUCUGCACCACUGCUCCUGUAUCUGAGAGAGGAGACGGGAUGAGCAAACAGAUGCACAUCAGCAGUGAGUCACUGGCUGACUUUGAGGAACAGCU